CUUAAACAUCCUUGGGAGUAAGAACAGUUAUUUUUGAUGGAUUCAUAUUUCUCUUCUCCAUAAAGACUGAAUUAGUGUUGUAGUGGCUAUAAAUGAAGGGGUUUCUUUAUCCUCUUCUCAUUUUAUUAUUUACUAAUCAGACUUCAGCUCAGAUAGAUGAAAGAGAGAGGCUCAGUUGCCUAGAUGUGAGGCCUUUAAUGAAGAUGAGAGACCCCAGGGAGCCGAAAUCUGAAGUAGAACGAUGCUGCUUUUGGGUUUCUUGUCAUUUCUUCAGUUGCUUCGCCUCCCUUUUCCAAUGGGCCUAGUGAGCAGGAACUAUCCAAGGUGCUAGAACGCUGGCAGCUUUGCCGUUCAAUGCAGACGGAUUGCAGAAACAGAGAAGAAAGAUUACUGCUUAUUUCAGAAGAAUAUAAUCAAAUGAGGCACCUUAGCCAGCCUGGGUGAUUGCUUCGAGUCUUAUAAUCAUCUGUGUAGCAAAGUGGGUAAAAUUAUUCAAUUUCUUCCCUGCUGGACCUGGAAGGCGAGAGGCUGUGUGUUCAUCCCCACCCAUUAGCUAUGCCCUCUUUUCUCUGAAUGUCGAUUUAAGGAAGCAAGCACCUGUCUUCUGCCACUGAAUCUUCCUAGCAAACUUUAAAGGCCAUUUUAUCUGAUAGAAAGAACAUCAAGAAUGCUCUGAUCUCUAGUGAUGAAGAAUCUGGGAGUGGACACUUUUCCCAUCCAGAUCCAAUGCACUUUAAUUGAAGAAAAACUGAGCUGAACUACAAGUCUAUUUCUUAUGGUGCUGGAUGACUCCUACAGAACUGCCCUGAGAUCAGCUGCGAGAGAGGGCUCUGACAGACACAAGUCACCUUCUGAAUAUUGAACUUAGCUGUCCCUGGGGACUUAAAAUUUUGGAAGUGUUCCUUUUCAUAUGAAAUCCUCCAAGAUGAUGAGCUCCAAUCCCGAGGAAGACCCUUUGGACACGUUUCUCCAGUACAUUGAGGAUAUGGGGAUGAAGGCCUAUGAUGGCUUGGUUAUUCAGAAUGCAUCAGACAUUGCUCGAGAGAACGACCGCUUGAGAAACGAGACAAACCUGGCCUACUUGAAAGAGAAGAAUGAAAAACGCCGAAGACAGGAAGAAGCAAU